AACGCCGGCAGAGUGCCCUUACUGCGAAACAUACUGGGGUUCAGACGAAGUGGCAAGUCCUACACAUUGGCCACAUUUGCUUGUGCUCUCC
rnacentral:sRNA from 1 species